AUUGAACGCUGGCGGCAUGCCUUACACAUGCAAGUCGAACGGUAACAGGUCUUCGGAUGCUGACGAGUGGCGAACGGGUGAGUAAUACAUCGGAACGUGCCCGAGAGUGGGGGAUAACGAGGCGAAAGCUUUGCUAAUACCGCAUACGAUCUCAGGAUGGAAGCAGGGGACCGCAAGGCCUUGCGCUCACGGAGCGGGCGAUGGCAGAUUAGGUAGUUGGUGGGAUAAAAGCUUACCAAGCCGACGAUCUGUAGCUGGUCUGAGAGGACGACCAGCCACACUGGGACUGAGACACGGCCCAGACUCCUACGGGAGGCAGCAGUGGGGAAUUUUGGACAAUGGGCGCAAGCCUGAUCCAGCCAUGCCGCGUGCAGGAUGAAGGCCUUCGGGUUGUAAACUGCUUUUGUACGGAACGAAAAGACUCUGGUUAAUACCUGGGGUCCAUGACGGUACCGUAAGAAUAAGCACCGGCUAACUACGUGCCAGCCGCCGCAGUAA
rnacentral:rRNA from 1 species